AUACUAAAGAUUAAGAUAUGGUUACAGUAAGAGAUAACCACUGUUUUUCUGUCUUUUCUGUGCAGUAGUGGAGCCUAUUUGUGUGGGGAUGUUUGCCUGUGUAAUGUGAGGCAAAGGUUGCUCAAUUUUUGAGUUGGUCUUCAAGCCAGUGUGCUUCCUGUGCGUUUCCUCCUUUGAAGCAACUUCUCUGUGCCAAGAGCUUCCCCAGAAGGGAAAAAUUCUGCUUUGACUUUCAGGUAUGGAGUUCCUUGCCAUCACAGUGCAAACCAACAAAUAUGGAUGUUGGCCAAGAAACAAGGCAGCUUAAAUGAAACAGCAGUCCCCAGGACUUCUCACAGGCAAUAGCACGAGGGGUGAGGUACG
rnacentral:lncRNA from 1 species